rnacentral:rRNA from 1 species
UACGAAGGGGCUAGCGUUGUUCGGAAUCACUGGGCGUAAAGCGCACGUAGGCGGAUUGUUAAGUCGGGGGUGAAAUCCUGAGGCUCAACCUCAGAACUGCCUCCGAUACUGGCAAUCUCGAGUUCGGAAGAGGUUGGUGGAACAGCUAGUGUAGAGGUGAAAUUCGUAGAUAUUAGCUAGAACACCAGUGGCGAAGGCGGCUCACUGGCCCGGUACUGACGCUGAGGUGCGAAAGCGUGGGGAGCAACAGG